AUGAACGCUGGCGGCAUGCCUAAGACAUGCAAGUCGAACGAGACGACCUUAGGAAACUAGAGUGCUUGCACGAAGUUGGAUCAAGAUCAUCGUCUAGUGGCAGACGGGUGAGUAACACGUGGGUAACCUACCUUUAAGCUGGGGAGUAACAGUUGGAAACGAUUGCUAAUACCGAAUAAGAUACUCGUAUUGAAAGAAGCCUUUAAAGCUUCAUUUAAAGAUGGGCCUGCGGCGUAUUAACUAGUUGGUGAGGUAAUGGCUCACCAAGGUAACGAUGCGUAGCCGAACUGAGAGGUUGAACGGCCACACUGGGACUGAGACACGGCCCAGACUCCUACGGGAGACAGCAGUUAGGAAUAUUCGUCAAUGGGGGAAACCCUGAACGAGCAAUGCCGCGUGAGUGAUGAAGGCCCUCUGGGUUGUAAAACUCUGUUGUAUGGGAAGAACGGACCUACUAGGAAAUGAGUGAGUAGUGACGGUACCAUGCGAGAAAGCUCCGGCUAACUACGUGCCAGCCGCCGC
rnacentral:rRNA from 1 species